rnacentral:tRNA from 1 species
AGCCGUAGGGGAACCUGCGGCUGGAUCACCUCCUUAAUCGACGACUCAGCUGCACCAUAAGCACCCACACGAAUUGCUUGAUUCAUUGAAGAAGACGAUUAGAAGCAGCUUUAAGCUCCAAGCUGAUAGCUCAACGCUAGCGGCUACAAGCUCGAAAUUGGGUCUGUAGCUCAGUUGGUUAGAGCGCACCCCUGAUAAGGGUGAGGUCGGCAGUUCGAAUCUGCCCAGACCCACCAAUUUUGUGUGGGAAACGCCUGUAGAAAUACGGGGCCAUAGCUCAGCUGGGAGAGCGCCUGCCUUGCACGCAGGAGGUCAGCGGUUCGAUCCCGCUUGGCUCCACCACUUACUGCUUCUGUUUGAAAGCUUAGAAAUGAGCAUUCCAUUGAUCUUGAUGAUCAGUGCCUGAAUGUUGAUUUCUAGUCUUUGAUUAGAUCGUUCUUUAAAAAUUUGGGUAUGUGAUAGAAAGAAAUAUAGACCGGGCACCUCUUUCACUGGUGUGUGUCCGGGCUAAGGUAAAGUUUGUGAAAUGCAAACUUUCGGCGAAUGUCGUCUUCACAGUAUAACCAGAUUGCUUGGGGUUAUAU